GACGAACGCUGGCGGCGUGCUUAACACAUGCAAGUGGAACGGAAAGGCCCUGCUUGCAGGGUACUCGAGUGGCGAACGGGUGAGUAACACGUGGGUGAUCUGCCCUGCACUUCGGGAUAAGCCUGGGAAACUGGGUCUAAUACCGGAUAUGACCUUCCAUGUAGUGUGGGGGGUGGAAAGAUUUAUCGGUGUGGGAUGAGCCCGCGGCCUAUCAGCUUGUUGGUGGGGUAAUGGCCUACCAAGGCGUCGACGGGUAGCCGGCCUGAGAGGGUGGACGGCCACAUUGGGACUGAGAUACGGCCCAGACUCCUACGGGAGGCAGCAGUGGGGAAUAUUGCACAAUGGGCGGAAGCCUGAUGCAGCGACGCCGCGUGGGGGAUGACGGCCUUCGGGUUGUAAACCUCUUUCGACAGGGACGAAGCUUCGGUGACGGUACCUGUAUAAGAAGCACCGGCUAACUACGUG
rnacentral:rRNA from 1 species